AUUGAACGCUGGCGGCAGGCCUAACACAUGCAAGUCGAGCGAGCGGCGGACGGGUGUGUAAUGUAUGGGGACUGCCCGAUAGAGGGGGCUAACUACUGGAAACGGGAGCUAAUACCGGAUCCUAUCGGAUAAACCAUAUGGGCUUAGCUAGUAGGUGAGGUAAUGUCGCACCAAGGCGACGAGCCCUAGCGGGCCUGAGAGGAUGAUCAGCCACACGGGAACUGAGACACGGCCCAGACUCCUACGGAGGCAGCAGUGGGGAAUAUUUCGCAAUGGGCGCGAGCCGGAUGCAGCAAUGCCGCGUGUAUGAAGAAGGCCCUAGGGUUGUAAAGCACUUUCAGUCGGGAGGCGUUACCGACAGAAGAAGCACCGGCUAACGCCGUGCCAGCAGCCGCGGUAAUUC
rnacentral:rRNA from 1 species